rnacentral:tmRNA from 1 species
GGGGGUGAAUGGUCUCGACUGCGGUCGGAUGACCAGGGGAAGCGAGCCGAGGAAGCCGACGAUGAGCUCGUUAACCACGCGUCGGGAACAACACAAGCGCCGACUCCAGUCAGCGCGAGUUCGCCCUCGCUGCCUGAUAGCAGCGUAGGCGACUCUGUCAGCCCGGGUUCGUCAUCGGCCCGGAUCCUGGCAUCAGCUAGAUGACUCACCGUGCGUGCCGGUCGCGGGUGCGCGCGGGACACCGCACAGCGACUGGGCCCGUCAUCCCGUCUCGUCCGUGAGAUCGGGAGGGCCGAGCAGAGACGGAGCGGACUGCGCUCGGAGAAGCCCUGGCCUUGCGUCGUAGGACGCGGGUUCGAUUCCCGCCACCUCCACCA